rnacentral:sRNA from 1 species
CUUUUCCUUUUUUUUU